GAUGAACGCUAGCGGGAGGCCUAACACAUGCAAGCCGAGCGGUAUUUGUUCUUCGGAACAGAGAGAGCGGCGCACGGGUGCGGAACACGUGUGCAACCUGCCUUUAUCUGGGGGAUAGCCUUUCGAAAGGAAGAUUAAUACCCCAUAAUAUAUUGAGUGGCAUCAUUUGAUAUUGAAAACUCCGGUGGAUAGAGAUGGGCACGCGCAAGAUUAGAUAGUUGGUGAGGUAACGGCUCACCAAGUCAAUGAUCUUUAGGGGGCCUGAGAGGGUGAUCCCCCACACUGGUACUGAGACACGGACCAGACUCCUACGGGAGGCAGCAGUGAGGAAGAUUGGACAAUGGGUUAGCGCCUGAUCCAGCCAUCCCGCGUGAAGGACGACGGCCCUAUGGGUGGUAAACUUCUUUUGUAUAGGGAUAAACCUACUCUCGUGAGAGUAGCUGAAGGUACUAUACGAAUAAGCACCGGCUAACUCCGUG
rnacentral:rRNA from 1 species